rnacentral:rRNA from 1 species
GACGAACGCUGGCGGCGUGCUUAACACAUGCAAGUCGAACGGAAAGGCCCUGCUUUUGUGGGGUGCUCGAGUGGCGAACGGGUGAGUAACACGUGAGUAACCUGCCCUUGACUUUGGGAUAACUUCAGGAAACUGGGGCUAAUACCGGAUAGGAGCUCCUGCUGCAUGGUGGGGGUUGGAAAGUUUCGGCGGUUGGGGAUGGACUCGCGGCUUAUCAGCUUGUUGGUGGGGUAGUGGCUUACCAAGGCAUUGACGGGUAGCCGGCCUGAGAGGGUGACCGGCCACAUUGGGACUGAGAUACGGCCCAGACUCCUACGGGAGGCAGCAGUGGGGAAUAUUGCAAAAUGGGCGGAAGCCGGAUGCAGCAACGCCGCGUGCGGGAUGUCGGCCUUCGGGUUGUAACCCGCUUUCGCCUGUGACGAAGCGUGAGUGACGGUAAUGGGUAAAGAAGCACCGGCUAACUACGUG